AUUGAACGCUGGCGGCAUGCCUUACACAUGCAAGUCGAACGGCAGCACGGGUGCUUGCACCUGGUGGCGAGUGGCGAACGGGUGAGUAAUAUAUCGGAACGUACCUUAUCGUGGGGGAUAACGCAGCGAAAGCUGUGCUAAUACCGCAUAAUCCCUAAGGGGGAAAGCAGGGGACCGUAAGCACUUGCGCGACUAGAGCGGCCGAUACCUGAUUAGCUAGUUGGUGAGGUAAAGGCUCACCAAGGCAACGACCAGUAGCUGGUCUGAGAGGACGAUCAGCCACGCUGGGACUGAGACACGGCCCAGACUCCCACGGGAGGCAGCAGUGGGGAAUUUUGGACAAUGGGGGCAACCCUAAUCCAGCAAUGCCGCGUGAGUGAAGAAGGCCUUCGGGUUGUAAAGCUCUUUUGUCAGGGAAGAAACAGCAGCUCUAAUACAGUAUGCGAAUGACGGUACCUGAAGAAUAAGCACCGGCUAACUACGUGCCAGCCGCCGCCGUAA
rnacentral:rRNA from 1 species